rnacentral:lncRNA from 1 species
AUGGCAUCUCAAUCCUCUGGGUCCCAGUCCUGGCAUCUCAGGAGGGGACAGUCUCACCCAGGGAGGGGCCUCUCUGAGAGAAGGAAAGGCUCAAAGGAGGAUGGCUCACCUCAAAGAGGCUUUGCAGUUGCAGCCACAGCACAAAGGGGAAGGGCAGGUGCUGGCUCCACGCUCUCCCAUAGCACUGAGGGGAAGGGCAGGUGCUGGCUCCACGCUCUCCCACAGCACAGAGGGGAAGGGCAGGUGCUGGCUCCACGCUCUCCCACAGCACAGAGGGGAAGGGCAGGUGCUGGCCCUCCACGCUCUCCCAUAGCACUGAGGGGAAGGGACAGAUGCUGGCUCCACGCUCUCCCACAGCACAGAGGGGAAGGGACAGAUGCUGGCCCUCCACGCUCUCCCACAGCACAGAGGGGAAGGGCAGGUGCUGGCUCCACGCUCUCCCACAGCACAGAGGGGAAGGGGCAGGUGCUGGCCCUCCACGCUCUCCCACAGCACAGAGGGGAAGGGACAGAUGCUGGCCCUCCACGCUCUCCCACAGCACAGAGGGGAAGGGACAGAUGCUGGCCCUCCAUGCUCUCCCACAGCACAGAGGGGAAGGGACAGAUGCUGGCCCUCCACGCUCUCCCACAGCACAGAGGGGAAGGGACAGAUGCUGGCCCUCCAUGCUCUCCCACAGCACAGAGGGGAAGGGACAGAUGCUGGCCCUCCACGCUCUCCCACAGCACAGAGGGGAAGGGCAGGUGCUGGCUCCACGCUCUCCCACAGCACAGAGGGGAAGGGGCAGGUGCUGGCCCUCCAUGCUCUCCCACAGCACGGAGGAGAAGGGCAGGUGCUGGCCCUCCACACUCUCCCACAGCACAGAGGGGAAGGGACAGAUGCUGGCUCCACGCUCUCCCACAGCACAGAGGGGAAGGGACAGAUGCUGGCUCCACGCUCUCCCACAGCACAGAGGGGAAGGGACAGAUGCUGCAUCAGCCCGAAUCAGCACUGCCUCUCAUUCCAAAUCCUGAAAACCUGGUAUCAGGAAACAGGCCCACUUUAAAGAAGAGCAUUUUGUUCCUUUUUUCCUUUUUUUUUUUUUAA